AAUUUUAAGUAAAUGACAAUUAUUGUUUUCUACGACACCAUUUUGUUUACUAAUGAAGUUGCAAAUGUUAUGAUUGUUGGAACAUAUUCUUUUCAUGCAUUUUUUAAAUUGUGAUUGUACCAUAUUAUAAAAUUAAAUAAAAAGUUAAGGUAUUUCGGAUUAAUCCUAAAUUAAAAGAAUCCAAAUGACUUGAGAACAAUUAUCAAUAAAGAGAAUAAAAUAUCCCGCACUACAAAU
rnacentral:lncRNA from 1 species